AACGAACGCUGGCGGCAGGCUUAACACAUGCAAGUCGAACGGGUGCAGCGAUGCAUCAGUGGCAGACGGGUGAGUAACACGUGGGAACCUUCCUAGGGGUACGGAACAACUCAGGGAAACUUGAGCUAAUACCGUAUGUGUCCGAGAGGAGAAAGAUUUAUCGCCCUUAGACGGGCCCGCGUCGGAUUAGCUAGUUGGUGGGGUAACGGCCUACCAAGGCGACGAUCCGUAGCUGAUCUUAGAGGAUGAUCAGCCACACUGGGACUGAGACCCGGCCCAGACUCCUACGGGAGGCAGCAGUGGGGAAUCUUGGACAAUGGGCGCAAGCCUGGUCCAGCCAUGCCGCGUGAGUGAAGAAGGUCUUCGGAUUGUAAAGUUCUUUUGCCAGGGACGAUAAUGGCGGUACCUGGAGAAUAAUGCUAGGUAAUGACGGUACCAAAGGAGGAAGCCACGG
rnacentral:rRNA from 1 species